UACGGGGGGGGCAAGCGUUGUUCGGAAUUACUGGGCGUAAAGGGCGCGUAGGCGGCCUUCUAAGUCGAACGUGAAAUCCCCGGGCUCAACCCGGGAACUGCGUCCGAUACUGGAAGGCUUGAAUCCGGGAGAGGGAUGCGGAAUUCCAGGUGUAGCGGUGAAAUGCGUAGAUAUCUGGAGGAACACCGGUGGCGAAGGCGGCAUCCUGGACCGGCAUUGACGCUGAGGUACGAAAGCGUGGGGAGCAAACAGG
rnacentral:rRNA from 1 species